ensembl:ncRNA F49H12.11 ncRNA
UAUGGAAUAUGUAGUUUUAUUUCAAGUAUUAAUGUAUUAAUGUUUAAACAUUGUAGGGGUUAGGACUUACGGCAGUGCUAUAGUUUUCUCAAAAACUGUCAAAAGCCCAGUAAUUGCCAGUUUUUGACUGUCAAUAACAAUUUUUAGUUC